UGACUUUUCAGCAGCCACCAGACUGAAUGAGUAGCAGGAUAAGGUCAACAGGUGAAAUCAGACACAGCAGGAAUCAUUUCAUUCAUGGAUCUUGAAGCACCUAGCUGAAGACCAUGCCCAUUCCACCAAAGAGGAAGAAGAGUCAACUGAAGGCAGAAGCUGCAAGAUGCCUGGCAACAGUAUGUGGAGACAGGAAGAGCCUUUCAGUACAUCUGCAAACUGCAAGUACAGGAUAAAAAGCUGAAUGAACCCUGCUGGGAUUCAACCCACGUUCCAGAGAGUCUAGAUAUUUCAUAUCUGAUGCUUAAACCUCUAACCAAAUACAAUUUCUGCUAGGAGAUGUUCUGGUGUGUGGUCAGAUUUUAUUCUGUUUCUGUAUGAAAUUCACCCCCAGGUUUCAGAAAUUCCUACAUUUUACCAGCACACUGAAAUCCUGGUCAUUUGCAUGCUUUUGAAAAUUAGAGGUAAAUAUAUCAACAUAACAGAUGCAAUGGUUUUUUUUUUUAAUUAUUUUAUCCUCAACACCAUUCUAUCGAGAUCCUCAAAAGCAUUAGA